rnacentral:rRNA from 1 species
UACGUAGGUGGCGAGCGUUAUCCGGAAUUACUGGGUGUAAAGGGUGUGUAGGCGGGUAAGCAAGUCAGAUGUGAAAAUUAUGGGCUCAACUCAUAAACUGCGUCUGAAACUGUUAAUCUUGAGGGUCGGAGAGGUAACUGGAAUUCCUGGUGUAGCGGUGAAAUGCGUAGAUAUCAGGAGGAACACCGGUGGCGAAGGCGAGUUACUGGACGAUUACUGACGCUGAGACACGAAAGUGUGGGGAGCAAACAGG